GCGGGACGCCCCGCCGCUGCCCCGCGCGGCCUCGGCGAUGAGGUCGGUCGGGCGCUUGGCAGUGCGGGAGGGGGCGGAGAACGAAUACGAGGCUUGUGGGCAGCAACGCUGGGGCACGGGCCGACGGCGUGCGCUGAGGAGCAGACUCGAGGGGACCGGCAGCGUGGACGAGGCCGGCCGGCCUGGGGCAUAUGGCAACAACGGCGCGGGACGAAGGUGCGGGCCGCCGUGCGGUGUUGGGGCCAUGGGACGUGAGGCGGUGGUGGGGCCGGCGGACUGCGGCGUCGGGAGCGGAAGCAGUGGGGGCUGGUGGAGGGAGCAAGCUCUGGAGGUAGCGGUGGAGCAGAGACGCUAGCGGUGGACUGCCGCCUCUCCUCCCAUCGCAGCGCUGCCCUACCAUCUCUCCCUCGCGUGCGUCCUCUAUGAUGCUCUUCUCAGUGCUCCCAGUAAGGGAGAUGGCAGCGCAAGGGCAAGAUGCGGCGCGACUGUAGCAUCUCCUCACAUCCAUGGGCCGCACCUUCCGGCAUCCUCAUCUCCCAGAGCCCUCCCUUCCAGGUGCUUGAUUUGGUGAUGAGAAAGUUGAUUCGUCAAGUUUAUCCUGGGACAACGAAAUUUAUCGGGUGAACUAAGGGUAUCAGGAUGAGCCUACCAUGGAGAAGCUCAUAGGUCCAUGCCCUUCCUUCUACUUCAGCUCUGAUGCACACCAGUUGCUUGUUGUAUUGCCUGAACAAAAGAUUAACUACCUAUUUCUUGUUUUAACUGCUUUUUUUGUGUUAAGCAAAUUCUGAUACCGAUAUUUUCUGCAUUUGCAAAGUUCA